rnacentral:rRNA from 1 species
GAUGAACGCUGGCGGCGUGCUUAACACAUGCAAGUUGAACGAAGUGGCGGAUGGGCGAGUAACACGUGAGGAACCUGCCUUUCACCGGGGAAUAACACUGGGAAACCAGUGCUAAUACCGCAUAGUGAAAGAUGCCCGCGCGCCUGAUUAGCUAGUAGGUGAGGUAACGGCUCACCUAGGUGUUGAACAGGAGACGGACUGAAGGAGGAGCGGCCGCAGUGGGACGGAGACACGGCGCAGACUCCUACGGGAGGCAGCAGUGGGGAAUAUUGGCAAUGGCGCAAGCCUGACCCAGCAACGCAGCGUGAAGGAAGACGUUCUUCGGAGUGUAAACGUCUGUAGACAGGGACGCGGUACCUGUAGAAUAAGCCACGGCUAACUACGUGCCAGCAGCCGCGGUAAUUC